UAAGUUCUUUGCAUCUCAUUAAAACUUGUU
rnacentral:piRNA from 1 species